rnacentral:misc_RNA from 1 species
ACUAAAUAAAGUGAUGGCGAC